rnacentral:rRNA from 1 species
GAUGAACGCUAGCUACAGGCUUAACACAUGCAAGUCGAGGGGCAGCAUGAACUUAGCUUGCUAAGUUUGAUGGCGACCGGCGCACGGGUGAGUAACACGUAUCCAACCUGCCGAUGACUCGGGGAUAGCCUUUCGAAAGAAAGAUUAAUACCCGAUGGCAUAGUUCUUCCGCAUGGUAGAACUAUUAAAGGAUUUCGGUCAUCGAUGGGGAUGCGUUCCAUUAGGUUGUUGGCGGGGUAACGGCCCACCAAGCCUUCGAUGGAUAGGGGUUCUGAGAGGAAGGUCCCCCACAUUGGAACUGAGACACGGUCCAAACUCCUACGGGAGGCAGCAGUGAGGAAUAUUGGUCAAUGGACGAGAGUCUGAACCAGCUAAGUAGCGUGAAGGAUGACUGCCCUAUGGGUUGUAAACUUCUUUUANAAGGGAUAAAACCUCCCACGUGUGGGAGCUUGUAUGUACCUUAUGAAUAAGCAUCGGCUAACUCCGUG